UAUUCUGCCCCAUGGGGAAGGAUGAGAAGCUUCGACUAAGGUUCGACUCGAGCGCCAGCGAGAGAACGUUGCCGCAGGCAACGGCCCGAAGGGCGAGGCGCUUUAGCGCCGAGUAAUCCUUCCCCACCACCA
rnacentral:sRNA from 1 species